rnacentral:rRNA from 1 species
UACAGAGGGUGCGAGCGUUAAUCGGAAUUACUGGGCGUAAAGCGCGCGUAGGCGGCUUUUCAAGUCGAUUGUGAAAUCUCCGGGCUUAACCUGGGAACUGCAGUCGAGACUGUCUGGCUAGAGUAUGGGAGAGGGAAGUGGAAUUUCAGGUGUAGCGGUGAAAUGCGUAGAUAUCUGAAGGAACAUCAGUGGCGAAAGCGACUUCCUGGACCAAUACUGACGCUCAUGUGCGAAAGCGUGGGGAGCAAACAGG